rnacentral:rRNA from 1 species
AACGUAGGAGACAAACGUUAUCCGGAGUUACUGGGCGUAAAGGGCGCGUAGGCGGCUCAUGAAGGCUGUGGUGAAAGUCCGGGGCUCAACCUCGGAUCGGCCGUGGCGACUCGUGGGCUGGAGCACUGUAGAGGCGGGUGGAAUUCCGGGUGUAGCGGUGGAAUGCGUAGAGAUCCGGAAGAACACCAGUGGCGAAGGCGGCCCGCUGGGCAGUGGCUGACGCUGAGGCGCGACAGCGUGGGGAGCAAACAGG